GUUAGUGUAGCUCAGAGGGAGAGCAAUCGACUGCAGAUCGAUAGGUCAUGGGUUCAAAUCCCGUCACUAACA